rnacentral:rRNA from 1 species
AUAUUAGUCAAUGCUCGCAAGAGUGAACUAGCUAACUGAAAUCACAGGAUCCACUACGUGUGGUGAAUGUAAUAACGUAAGGGAAAAAUUUGAUAUUACCUUACUAUUAGUGUUGUCCAAAACUGGUGCCAGAAGACUCGGUAAGGCCAGAGACGCAAACGUUAGUCGUCCUAAUCAGGCGUAAAGGGUAUGUAGGCUGCUUUAAAUUUUUAUUAUAAUGUAGCUAUGUAAAUAUAAACUAAAAAUAUUUAUUUUUACAAUUAAAAAUAAAAAUAAUUUAAAGCUAGGAUCAAAUUGAGGAUAAAUCAAAUAAUACCUAGUGUAGGGUUUGAAUCUGACGAUAUUAGGUAGAGUACUAAUGGUGAAAGCUUUUUAUCUAGAAAUGAUUGACGCUGAGAAACGAAGGUGAGAAUAGGAAAUAGGAUUAGAUACCCAGAUACCUCUCACAGUCAACGAUGAAUGGUGGUUGUUAGUUAGUUUAUAUUUAACUGAUAACGAUGUUAACACGAUAACCAUUCCGCCUUGCGAGUACGGUUGCAAAACUGAAACCAAAAAAAUUAGUCGGUCUCGAAGCAAACGAAGUGAAGCAUGUUAUUUAAUU